AUUGAACGCUGGCGGCAGGCCUAACACAUGCAAGUCGAGCGGAUGAAGGGAGCUUGCUCCUGGAUUCAGCGGCGGACGGGCGAGUAAUGCCUAGGAAUCUGCCUGGCAGUGGGGGAUAACGUCCGGAAACGGGAGCUAAUACCGCAUACGUCAUGAGGGAGAAAGGGGGGGAUCUUCGGACCUCACGCUACCAGAUGAGCCUAGGUCGGAUUAGCUAGUUGGUGGGGUAAAGGCCUACCAAGGCGACGAUCCGUAACUGGCCUGAGAGGAUGAUCAGUCACACUGGAACUGAGACACGGUCCAGACUCCUACGGGAGGCAGCAGUGGGGAAUGUUGGACAAUGGGCGAAAGCCUGAUCCAGCCAUGCCGCGUGUGUGAAGAAGGUCUUCGGAUUGUAAAGCACUUUAAGUUGGGAGGAAGAGCAGUAAGUUAAUCCCUUGCUGUUUUGACGUUACCAACAGAAUAAGCACCGGCUAACUUCGUG
rnacentral:rRNA from 1 species